AGUGAACGCUGGCGGUAGGCCUAACACAUGCAAGUCGAACGGCAGCACAGUAAGAGCUUGCUCUUACGGGUGGCGAGUGGCGGACGGGUGAGGAAUACAUCGGAAUCUACUUUUUCGUGGGGGAUAACGUAGGGAAACUUACGCUAAUACCGCAUACGACCUACGGGUGAAAGCAGGGGAUCUUCGGACCUUGCGCGAUUGAAUGAGCCGAUGUCGGAUUAGCUAGUUGGCGGGGUAAAGGCCCACCAAGGCGACGAUCCGUAGCUGGUCUGAGAGGAUGAACCGCCCACAUGGAACUGAGAACAGGUCCAGACUCCUAAGGGAAGCCGCCGUGGGGAAUAUUUGGAAAAGGGGGGAAGCCUGAACCAGCCCAAACGCGUGGGGGAAAGAAGCCCUCGGGGUGGAAAGCCCUUUUUUUUGGGAAAAAAAAGCGGCGGUUUAAACCCCGCCUGUUUGAAGGUAACCAAAAAAAAAGCCACGGCUAAAUUCGGG
rnacentral:rRNA from 1 species